UACGUAGGAGACGAGCGUUGUCCGGAUUUACUGGGCGUAAAGGGUGCGCAGGCGGCCUGGCGCGUCGCGAGUGAAAUCUCCUGGCUCAACUGGGAGGGUGGUCGCGAGACGGCUGGGCUUGAGGCUCGGUGAGGGGCGUGGAAUUCCGGGUGGAGCGGUGAAAUGCGUAGAUAUCAGGAGGAACACCGGUGGUGUAAACGGCUUUCUGGACCGUAACUGACGCUGAGGCACGAAAGCGUGGGUAGCAAACAGG
rnacentral:rRNA from 1 species